CCACACCUCGUCACAGUGGUCAACUAUCAACAAUCAUCUCUAUCUCUCGCCUGGGAUCGGAUCAUGAGGGCGUCUAGCGUUGCAUUGGGCGUGUGGGCGUGCGUUCUGCUGAUGGGCGUGGGCGUGGAUCCUUCCCCGCCCCGUGCUGCAGGGGGGUCGGCACCCUGGCGGUAGGCGCUUUGGCUUUCACUGGGGGCGUUCUUGUCGCGAAGCACCAUUAUCGGCAUCAUCAUGGGGGCGGCUGUUCCUCCUGCGGCUGCGGCGGCUGCGGCGGCUCCUGCGGCUGGUGUGGCGGCGGCUACUACGGAAGGAGGCGGCGCAGGAGUCUGGUCGCAUUCCUGGACGACGCGGAAGUGCGGCUGGCGUAUAACACGAUCGCGGCCGAGGACAAGGACGAGUGCGGCCUCCGCCUGGUGUGCGAGCUGGCGCAGAAGGACCCCGCGGAGCUCGCCCAGGACGAGAUUCAGAUCCUCCUGCCGUACCGG